rnacentral:rRNA from 1 species
CGCUGGCGGCGUGCCUAAUACAUGCAAGUCGUACGCUUCUUUUUCCACCGGAGCUUGCUCCACCGGAAAAAGAAGAGUGGCGAACGGGUGAGUAACACGUGGGUAACCUGCCCAUCAGAAGGGGAUAACACUUGGAAACAGGUGCUAAUACCGUAUAACAAUCGAAACCGCAUGGUUUUGAUUUGAAAGGCGCUUUCGGGUGUCGCUGAUGGAUGGACCCGCGGUGCAUUAGCUAGUUGGUGAGGUAACGGCUCACCAAGGCCACGAUGCAUAGCCGACCUGAGAGGGUGAUCGGCCACAUUGGGACUGAGACACGGCCCAAACUCCUACGGGAGGCAGCAGUAGGGAAUCUUCGGCAAUGGACGAAAGUCUGACCGAGCAACGCCGCGUGAGUGAAGAAGGUUUUCGGAUCGUAAAACUCUGUUGUUAGAGAAGAACAAGGAUGAGAGUAACUGUUCAUCCCUUGACGGUAUCUAACCAGAAAGCCACGGCUAACUACGUGCCAGCAGCCGCGGUAAUACGUAGGUGGCAAGCGUUGUCCGGAUUUAUUGGGCGUAAAGCGAGCGCAGGCGGUUUCUUAAGUCUGAUGUGAAAGCCCCCGGCUCAACCGGGGAGGGUCAUUGGAAACUGGAAGACUUGGGUGCAGAAGAGGAAAGUGUAAUUCCAUGUGUAACGGUAAAAUGCGUAGAUAUAUGGAGGAACACCAGUGGCGAACGCGGCUCUCUGGUCUGUAACUGACGCUGAGGCUCGAAAGCGUGGGGAGCAAACAGGAUUAGAUACCCUGGUAGUCCACGCCGUAAACGAUGAGUGCUAAGUGUUGGAGGGUUUCCGCCCUUCAGUGCUGCAGCUAACGCAUUAAGCACUCCGCCUGGGGAGUACGACCGCAAGGUUGAAACUCAAAGGAAUUGACGGGGGCCCGCACAAGCGGUGGAGCAUGUGGUUUAAUUCGAAGCAACGCGAAGAACCUUACCAGGUCUUGACAUCCUUUGACCACUCUAGAGAUAGAGCUUCCCCUUCGGGGGCAAAGUGACAGGUGGUGCAUGGUUGUCGUCAGCUCGUGUCGUGAGAUGUUGGGUUAAGUCCCGCAACGAGCGCAACCCUUAUUGUUAGUUGCCAUCAUUUAGUUGGGCACUCUAGCAAGACUGCCGGUGACAAACCGGAGGAAGGUGGGGAUGACGUCAAAUCAUCAUGCCCCUUAUGACCUGGGCUACACACGUGCUACAAUGGGAAGUACAACGAGUCGCGAAGUCGCGAGGCUAAGCUAAUCUCUUAAAGCUUCUCUCAGUUCGGAUUGUAGGCUGCAACUCGCCUACAUGAAGCCGGAAUCGCUAGUAAUCGCGGAUCAGCACGCCGCCGUGAAUACGUUCCCGGGCCUUGUA